ACUGGACUCCAAACGGAGCUGCAUUCUAGGGGGUCAGUAGAGGUGUGGGCUUGGAGACUCAGCAGCUACCCUGCCAGAGUCCAGGGUGCCCUCCCAGGCAGGCAAGCGACAAGCAGGCGCUAAGGGUGGAGAAGCCUGGGAACCAGUGGGAGGGGCGCCGCCUGACCCACCCCUGCGCCCCAGGGCAGUACCCCGCUGCUCACCGAACACCAGAAUGUUUUUGCCGGACGGCAGCUUGGACCUGGCACGGGUGGACACUUCGCUCAAGAUCGAAGACCUGCGGCGACAAUGACAAGAGUGGUCAGCGCGGGACCGCCUAGGACCGCUCGGCCCACGACUGCCCAUCAAUGUCUGCCCACGGUCCUGCCCGCUCCGGCCCGCUCCCGGUCCGGCCGCGCCAUCUGCGGCUCUAUACGCUCCUCACCAUAGACUCUGGCCUUCCUCCUCUUCACUUGUCAGGUCGCCGGCGGCCGCCACUGCGGGCCCGUUGGGACCCAGCAGCAGCUUCUUCUCCACCCCCACCGGCGCCAUCUUGCCAACUGCAGCCACAAAGAGGGCCCUCCCCCGGGCCCGCCGAGGACCCGCAAGGACCCCGGCCGGGCCGCGCUGCCCGCCCGCAACGCCGCAGAAGCUCCGUUAUCCAGCGCGUCCCGACGGGCCCGCGGUGUCCUCGUGCGUCUGCGGGACGUGGGAUCGCCGCAGCUAGGGACGUUGCUGGGUCAGGCAGCCAGCCGGACAGCCUUACGCGGGAGGUGGAGCCGCGGACGCCACCAGACCGAGAGCGCGCUGGCGACCCCUGCAGGGCAGCCUCUGAUGCGGCAAGUCCAAGCUUUGGAAUGAACUCAAGCUAGACAACCAUAUUUAUAAAGCGAUCUCAUUGAAUCUUGUUUAAUUCUUAAUAAGUGAGGUGAGGAAACUACAGCUCAGAAGUUUAAAAGAAAAUGGGCCAAACAUGAACGAAGAUCCACAAAAAAAUGACUGGACAUAGAUAUUUGCAUGUCCUGUCAUACCAGCAAUGGGCAGCUGGUGGGGGCGGGGAGGGGGGGAGGGGGAGGGAUCAGAAGUCUUAGACUACUUGGUAAGUUUAAGUUGAGCAUGAGCUAUGUGAGAGCCUACUUCAAAAAAAUUAAUUUUAAAAUGGUUGCACAUGGUGUCACACGCCUUUAAUCCCAGCAUUCAGGAGGCAGAGGCGGGAGGAACUCUAUACAUUUGAAGCCAUCCUGGUCUACAUAGCAAGUUCGAGGGUAGCCAGGGCUACAUAGUGAGACCCUGUGUGCCGGCUAGUUUUGUGUGUCAAUUAGAGUCAUCAGGGAAGAAGGAAGCUCAAUUGAAGAAAUGCCAUUGUGGGUGGUGCCAUGCCUGGGCUGGCUGAGCAAGCCAGUAAGCAGCACCCCUCCAUGGCCUCUGCAUCGGUUCCUGCCCCCAGGUUUUAGCCCUGCUUGAGACCCUGUCCUGACUUCCUCCAAUGAUGGAUUAUGAUCUGGAAGGGUAAGAUGAAAUAAACUCUUUCCUUCCC
rnacentral:lncRNA from 1 species